CGGGCGCGCGCGUGCGCGGCUCGCUUCCACUGAGUAGGCGGCGCGACAACGUAUACCCCGACCAGCGAGUCAGCUGCUACUGAUCGAGCCGCGAUUGUACACACCGACGCAGCGGAGACGCGGCCGCAAACGUAACAGCAAACUGUGAGGGCCGUCCCUCCUGUCUAUGGGGAGGAGCGUCGACGCGAGCGUCGCCGCGCGGUCGAUACCAUGAAUCACCUCCGGCGUUUUCCUUAACAAUCGUCGAUUCAAUGGAUCUCCCAGACCCUUAACGAGACGGGGGAGAUCAAAAGGAACGUGUCGGGAAACUGGACAGUCAUGAUCGCGUAUAUUAUGGGAUUAUAGCAGAUGGAAGAUUUCGCAAGGAGAGCUGGCAGCACCGCUACGAUACGAGAGGGUCAUGUAACUCCCAGGAUACACUGCAGGAUAUGUUACCUGCCUCUGGGCCAUAACUCCCCCAAUUGAAAAAUGGCGGUAAUGAUAAGGAGAGCGCAUAUAUCCAAACAAAACAUGCCAAUAUGUAAGCAUGUCUACAACAAUUUUUAAGAAUAAGUGAUUAGUUAAAGACAAUUUAUAAGGGACAUUAAAUAUAUUAUUAACGUUAUUAUAGAAAAAGUAGUUCAAUUUAGUCAAGUCAAAUUCUAUAUUUUCACUUUUCUCUUAUGUCACACUUGCAACAUGCUUGCGUCAAUCAUAGAGCUUUAAAAAAAAAA